rnacentral:rRNA from 1 species
UACGGGGGGCAAGGGCAGUGUUCGGUGAAUUACUGGGGCGUAAAGGGCUCGUAGGCGGCCAACUAAGUCAGACGUGAAAUCCCCCGGCUUAACCGGGGAACGGGCGUCGAUACGACCGUCCUGGAGGGGCGUAGGGGGACCUGGAACUUCCGGUGGAGCGGUGAAAUGCGUUGAGAUCGGAAGGAACGCCCGUGGCGAAAGCGAGGUCCUGGACGCCUACUGACGCUGAGACGCGAAAGCCAGGGGAGCGAACGGG